ensembl:lncRNA
UGUGAGCUGGGUUGAGGAUGAUGAACAAGCCUCUGAGUAGAGUGUAGACCUGGGAUGAAAAAAUGAAGCACAGGGUCUUCCUUGGUGGUCCAGUGGCCAAGACUCCAUGCUCUCAAUGCAGGGGACCUGGGUUCAGUCCCUGGUCAGGGAACUAGAUUCUACCUGCCACAACUAAGAUCCCACACAGUGCAACUAAGACACAGCACAGCCAAAUAAACAAAUUUUUUUGUAAAAAGACACCAUUCAGAACACUAAAAGAUGCACACACAGCCUGGAUUGGAGAGGAGUUUGGCGGGGGUGAUAAGGGAGAUAUGUGUAUGUAGGGCUGAGUCCCUUCACCGUUCACCUGAAACUACCACAACUAUGUCUGUUAACUGGCUACCCCCCAAUGCAAAAUAAAAAGUUUUUUUUUUAAUAACACAAAUAAAUAAAAGUUUAAAAAAAUGAGCCACAGACUGAGAAAAAAUACUUAGAAAAUACUUACAUAUGGUUUCUAAAUACAGAAUCUAUGAAGAACUUUAUGGCUCAAAGAUAAAAAGACAACCCAAUUAGAAAUAAGGAAAAGAUCUGAAUAGACGUUUCAUUGAAGGAAACAGACUGUUAACACGCACGUGAAAAUACCAUUGUUCAUGAGAAAAAUGUAGAUCAAAAGCCCAAUGAGAUGACUGCUUCAAGGGUAGAGAGUUUCAGUUCAAGAUAAUAAAAAUGUUCUGAAGAAGUACAGGGGUUAAAGUGGCACAACUGAAUUAAAGCCACUGAACCAUACACUUAAAAAUGGUUAAAAUGGUAAGUUUUGUGCAUAUUUUGCCAUGGCUUUUAAAAGCCGUUGAGAUACCAUUUCACACCACCAGGAUGCCAGCUCCAAGUUGUCUUGGUGUUGGCACGGUGGAAAAACUGAACAGUCCUGCGGCGCUGCUGGGAGUAUAAAAGGCACAGACCCUUUGGGAAAUGGUUCGGGAGCUUCCAAGGAGGUAAACAUCAACUUGCCAGGCUUCCCUGCUGGGCCAGUGGUUGAGAGCCUGCCUGCCAAUGCAGGCGGCACGGGUUUGACCCCCGGUCCAGGAGGAUCUUCUGUGUCUCGGGGCAACUACACCCGUGCACCACAACUACCGACGCCCUCGCUCUCUACAGCCCGCGGCCCACGACCACAGAAGCCACCGCGACGAGAAGCCGGAACAUUACAGCGAAGCGGAGCCCCCACGCGCUGCCGGAGGACAGGUGACGGAGGGAAACCCACAGGUCCGGACUGGGCCACCCGAUCAGAAAACAACCAAGGUGAACGAUCUGCUGCUACUCAGGCUGUGAUGCUUCUGAUCUUGGACCAUGGCUGUCAAGGUCCCAAGGCAAACGGCGCUGCGACUGUUUACACGGUGGUCUGGGAGAAGAAGCAGGUGGACACAGCCACCACGAGGGCCAGCAGCGCCUCUCCUGGGAAAGAUGACAAGCCUGACCUGGUGAAGACAGCACCACAUCCCAGCAGAGGCUUCACUGGCCUCACUAAGGAGACCUAUUUCUUCCCCAAAAAAAGGCGCGUGCUCUUGUCCUCAAAAGUCACUGGGUCCUGCAACACCAGGCAAGGGGCACAAGAAUAUGAUCUAAGCACUGGGCACUGGACCCGGGCCCCCAGUCUUUGUCCCGCCCACACCUCCCCUUAGGCCUGCAAAACCCCGUCCCCUGACACCCCUGCUCGCCCUUUCAUCUCUGAGGGUGUGGGCCCUCCUCCUGGGUGUGCACUGUCCCCACAUCCACCAGAGUUUAGACAGUUUCUCUUUCCUGCACCCACCUCCUCCACUCGGCUACUGGUCCUUCAUCUGGACAUCCCACACUCAUCUCAGGGCCCAUCUGGAACCACAAGCUGAGAUUUUCCUUCCAAAAUCCCAUCUCAGGACAUAACCUGGUCCAGGCCACCAGGGCAGGACAGUCUAGACAUCAGGAAGCUAAAUAGAAAUUUCCUGUUCACGGGCACGCGGGUCAGCUCCACCUAGAGCUCUCCAGACAACUCAGACUCUACUCCCACAUAAUCCAACUGCUACUCUUCUGCCAAACAUACUCCUUCUGCCAACCUCCGCUCUCCAUCUCAUUCUUUAUCUGUAACACUUGGGAUAGUCCUUUAUCCUCCACUACAUUCACUCUCCAUUCGUAAAUGGAAAUCCCAUCGAUUCCACUCUGAAAAUCGUAUAGGGAAUCUGAUUAUUUCUCCCACCUCUCCUACUUCUAUUCUGGAGAGGUCACCGGAGAAACAUUUGCAGCAGCAUCCUCCUGAAGCUGCCUGCUUUCAGCCCCCACCACAACUCUGUGUUCACGCAGUUUCAAAAUCCUAACUCAGAUCAUGGCCAUCCAUAUUCUAAUGAAAAUCUGUGGCUCCCAGAAUCCAAAGCCCGUCAACAGAGGUGGGACUCCCAUGCUCACGCUGUCGGUUCCCGGCAGUGGAGACUGCAGAACUUUCCCGAAUGCUCCCAGGCCAGUCUCACCUCCGAGUCUUCGCACAUGCACAUCCCUCCGCCUGCACCCUCCACAUUUUAUCACACUGGACUCUGAAAUGCAGACUUCCACCCACGAACGCCCCAGUGUCCUGAGCACCGAAGCCUGGGGUUCAGUAGGGGACUUGCGGCACUGGGGUUCGGAGUCCAGGUGGAGGCCAAGAGACCCGGCUCUCUUACCAUGCCCGCAGUCCAGCUACAUGCUGGGUCAUGACCUCGGAACGGGUGGCUUUGGAGCCUGGGGCCCUUCUCCGUAAAGCGGAUACGAUGCACAGGGCGACGACUCCGGGUCGGCCACGGGCACAGACAGGCCUUGACGGACGACCCGGAGAACAACCCCGCGCCGGGCGGUCCCCCGACAGCCGAGGAAACAAGAACCCGGGGAGACGGGACGUUUGCUGAGGUCACGGGACACACAGGGCACAGUUGGGACCUCCUAGGCUGUCGUACCUACCCACUCCCGUUUCCGCGGGCCUGAGGAGCCCCCUGGACACCAACCACGGUCCAACAACUAGGUCCAUCCGCCCGCGACCGACAGAGAAGCAACCAUCUGAAUCCGGAAGUCCCGCCCUCCAAGGCGUGGCCGUCCCGGAAACGCCUAUUUCCUGGGCUAUCAUUGGUCAAUACUGGUGUGAACGCACAGUGAGGGAAGUUCUGGGUAGUGUAGUUCAAGUCGCGUGAGCCGUGAUGCGGUGCGUCCAGUCUAAUCACCUAGGCAACGACUCGGCGGCACCGCGAUAGGCUCAGGGAAAAGCGACAUAGACGUCCACGAGCCUGGAGCCAGUGAGGGUCAGGAUUUGG